rnacentral:rRNA from 1 species
UACGUAGGGUGCAAGCGUUGUCCGGAAUUAUUGGGCGUAAAGAGCUCGUAGGCGGUCUGUCGCGUCGGCUGUGAAAUCCCGAGGCUCAACCUCGGGUCUGCAGUCGAUACGGGCAAACUAGAGUAUUGCAGGGGAGACUGGAAUUCCUGGUGUAGCGGUGAAAUGCGCAGAUAUCAGGAGGAACACCGGUGGCGAAGGCGGCGAUCUGGGAAGAUACUGACGCUGAGGUGCGAAAGCGUGGGGAGCAAACAGG